rnacentral:rRNA from 1 species
GAUCCUGGCUUAGGAUGAACGCUGGCGGCGUGCCUAAUACAUGCAAGUCGAACGCAUUACUUCGGUAGUGAGUGGCGAACGGGUGAGUAACACGUAGGUAACUUACCUCUAAGACGAGGAUAACGACUGGAAACGGUCGCUAAAACUGGAUAGGAUCAUUUGAGGCAUCUCGAAUGAUUUAAAGGGGCUUUCAAGCCACACUUAGAGAAAGGCCUGCGGCGCAUUAGCUAGUUGGUGGGGUAGAGGCCUACCAAGGCGAUGAUGCGUAGCCGGACUGAGAGGUCGAACGGCCACAUUGGGACUGAGACACGGCCCAAACUCCUACGGGAGGCAGCAGUAGGGAAUAUUGGUCAAUGGGCGGGAGCCUGAACCAGCCAAGUCGCCGUGAAGGAAGAAGGAUCUAUGGUUCGUAAACUUCUUUUGCAGGGGAAUAAAGUGCAGGACGUGUCCUGUUUUGUAUGUACCCUGAGAAUAAGGAUCGGCUAACUCCGUGCCAGCCGCCGC